UACAGAGGGGGCAAGCGUUAUUCGGAAUUAUUGGGCGUAAAGGGCGCGUAGGCGGCCUGGCAAGUGGAAGGUGAAAUCCCUCGGCUUAACCGAGGAACUGCCCUCCAAACUGCUUGGCUUGAGUCCGGGAGAGGUGAGUGGAAUUCCCAGUGUAGCGGUGAAAUGCGUAGAUAUUGGGAGGAACACCAGUGGCGAAGGCGGCUCACUGGACCGGAACUGACGCUGAAAAACGAAAGCCAGGGGAGCAAACGGG
rnacentral:rRNA from 1 species